UGUCGACACUGAUCAACCAGGCGGCUGCUCAACGCCACCAAUCCCCUGCUGCUGCCACCAACCGAACCCAACGGCGUCACUUUACCGCCUGCCGCACAAAAAAAAAAUCACCCGCCCGCCACACUUUACGGCACCUGUGUGCCGGAUGAAUGUGCCCCGCGCGCGUGCGCAGAAGUGACAGAGCUACCUGGUGAGAGGCCGUCAGCAUCUGUGAGUGUGGGCGGAUCACAGCGAGGGCCACCAGCUGUCGGAAUAAAGGAAAAUGAUGAUCUGAAUGUCCCUUGAAUAAAGAACCAUUGAUCAUGUCUCUGAAGAAUUAAGAAUCUUAGAUGUCUUGGUUCAAACUUGUCCGAGUUCUUCAGUAUCAAGCUGCAUGACAAUAGUCCUCUGAUGAUGGCAGAUAGACUAGAGGACUUUCAUUUAAUUGAGAAGAUUCACAUAAUGGGAAGUUCAUCUGUGCACUAACUUCCCAAGCAUAGUUCUCCGUUUCAACGUAACCUGCUUCUCUCAAUUGAGAUUAUAUUUCUUGGCCCUCUUCCCACAGAACACUAAGCUUGUGGGCCCAUGGUUCCACAGGAUAAUGGGAUUUACACUUUUCUUUAAAAAGAGCUUAAGUGAUGUCUUUCUGGGACCUUCAAAUUCAUCACACCGAAUGGACUAUGACCGAGAACAUAAGGAGUUAACACAGUACUCGUUUAAUUUGCACCCUUGUUCAAUGUUUACUCGGAAAGAAAAAGUGCCAGUGGGAGCGGCUGAAAAAUGUUGAUUGUGGCACCGGGAUUCUUUCUACAAAUGAAUAUAAUUACAGGACAAACCUCUGAGUUCAAAGCUUUUCCACCUUACCUUUUACUGCAGUAACACAAACCUUAAUAGACUGUGUCUGUCGGACUGAAUAUUACAACCUGUAUAAUCAAGAUUCAGAACACCAAAACAUGAAAGAGAAAGGCCAAGUGAGACAGCUGAGAACUGAGAAGUAGCAGGCAUUUACAACCUAUGCACACAUUAAAAGUGAAUGUCUAAUGCAACAUUGAGUGAAGUACGAGUCAUAAAUAUAUGAAAAGGAAGAAAACUACAUGGAUGAAUUGUCAUUUUUCAGUAUGAAGGAAUAUGAACAUCAUAAAAACUGUAUUACAUCCUCAUAACUGGUCAUUUUUCAAAAAUAUCCGAUUAAUAUCACAGUCUUGGACGGACCUUUUGAGAAAUGCAAAUGAGUCAGGGCUGAUUUUCCUAAUUUAUUGUCGUGGCACUGUGGGUGUACCCACACCACAUGGACUGCAGCAGUCCAAGAAGGCAGCUCAGCACCACCUUCUCAAGGGCAACUAGGGAUGGGCAAUAAAUGCUGGCCCAGCCAGCGAAGUCCACAUCCCAUGAACGAAUAAAAUAAAAAGACAGUCCUGCUCAGGACUAGGGGAGAUUGGAAGCUGGGAUAAGAGGUUGGGGUGGGGGCAAGAGCAAUUUCCAAUAGGCACCCAGCAAGUAAGCCUUUUUGCUGAUAAAAUUAACAAGGAAAAAUUGCCCUAAUAUUCCCCUUUAGCUUCAAAAGCAAUCAUCUCUCUUGUGUUGCUGAUUUCAGCUACAAGUGCAUUCUCCAUUCAGGUGCCUUCACACAAAAGGCUUGAUUUCCCAAAAUGGCAUUACAUUGAUAGAAAUGAUUGGGAUUUGGGCUGAAGUAAGAAAGAAAGAUCUGAAUUUAUAUAGUGUUUUCACAACAUUCCAAGCACCUUAAAGCCAAUGAGGUGUUUUUAAAAUCCAAUAACUGUAGGGAAAUGUAGCAGAAAAUUUCGGCACAGCGAGGUCUGACAAACAACAAUGUAAUAAUGACCAGGUUUUUUGGUUGGUUGAGGGAUAAAUAUUAGGCAGGACACUGGGGAGAACUUCAUUGUUGCUGUUUGAAUAAUGCCAUGGUAUCCUAUACACCCACCUAAGAGGGCAGACGGGGCCUCAAUUUAACAUCUUAUCUGAAAGGCGGCACCACCAACAGUGUAGCACCCCCUCAAUAAAGCAGUGAAGUGUCAGACUAGAUUUUGUGCUUAGGACUUAAACCUUUUAAGUCAGAAGAGAGUGCUACCAUUGAUUCACAGUUGAUACCUAAGGAGUAUCAUCUGCGGAGAAUCACAAUGGCUCAUUUGGUACCCCAUGCAGCCUUCUGUCACUAUUUUCUCUUUUGCAUAUUUUGUUAAGCAGACUUUACAGUUUUGGUUCAAUGGGUGUUCCUCUAAAUCAGUCUCAAUACGUUUGGGGUUUAGAAUCUUACAGCAGUGAAACAGCCAUACAGCCGUCCUGCCUGUGUCAGUUUUUUGAAAGAGCUGUCUAACUUAGACCCAUGUCACAGCUUUUUUACACAUAACCAUGCAAAUUAGUCCUCUUCAAGUCAUGUCGAAUUCCCUUCUAACAGUUCCUGUAGAGAUCAUUCCAACACCCUCUCAGGUAGUGCAUUCCAGACAUUAACAACCUUCCAUGUGAAAUAAUUUCUCUUUGUUUUCCCUUUUCUGCCAAUUAUUUUAGAUCUAUAACAUCUGGUUACCAAUCACUUUGCCAGAGGAAACAGUUUCUCCCUACUUGCGCUCUCAAAACCCCUCAUAACUUUGAAUACCCUUAUUAGAUCUCUCCUUAACUUCCUCUGCUCCAAGGAUUUGCUCAAUUUUAUUUAUAACAGGCAAUUUUUGUGAAAGUAUUGACAGUUAUUCAAGUGCAGUAAUUGUUUUCCAAACAAUUUAAGGAGCUGGAGCUACGUGAGUCCUAGAAUUAGAGAAUUGUACAGCACUGAAGGAGGGCAUUCGGUCCAACAUGUGGGUUCCAGCUCUUUGAAAGAGUUAUCCAAUUAGUCCCAAUCUCCAUGCCAUUUCCCCACAGCCCUGUAAUUUUUUUUCCUUCUUAUGCAUUUCCCUUUUACUUGUUCAAUUGAAUUGACUUCUACCACCCUUUCAAGGCAAUGUAUUCUUGGUCACAAUACCUUGCUGCAUAAAAUAAUUUACCUUCUGGUUCUUUUGACAAUUUCCUCUGGUUACCGACAUUCCUGGCAUGUGUUGGGUUUUGUAUUCAGAAAUGGGUGGGACAGGAUGAUGUCCAGCAGUGGGACAAUUGCAGUGACUUAUGGCCAUUUGAGUGGGAUGCCCGGAAUUAUGUGUUUACAUGAGUUUGUAGGUCCUUUGAAGUGUUAGUCGGGGUGGGUGGUAGUUCUAAUCUAGUUAAUCAAGAUAGUAUUUCUGCAUUGCUAUUCAGAGCUUUAUAAUAUGAUGGAAUGUUAUUGAUAUUGUAGGUGGUAUUUGCCAGGCUGACCAAAUCCCAAAGGGAAACUUGGCCAUGCUAUCACAACAAUUUUGCAAUUUGUAUUUAUUACGAGAAGGUUUGUGCACUCAAGUCAGAAGUAUUGAGGUCAGUACCACUGAUAGAGAUUUUAAAGAUUAAAUUAAACCAUUUAUGUUUUAUUUUCUUUUGUUAAUAAACACACAUCUACAGUUACACAGUUACUUUUAGUUUUAUAACAGUUUUCAUAAGAUUUCUACUUAACUAAACUUCCAGCUACACGCCCCUUUCAGGGAAAACUCCAGAUAGAUUCAUCAUCUAUAAAAGAUCUAACAAUAUUACCACAAGCACCCACUGUUGCUAUAAGGGAGGUAUUUCACAGCUCCUUCCUCCCUUUUACUCAGCAAUGGAAUUCCAAAAGCUUUUAACAAAACCUUGGUGACUGGAACAGCAAACUUCUCCAAGGUGGCUAGAGGCUUUUUCCACAGGUCUGUUUCAGAGUGCACCUUUCGAGAUCUCACAAGGCCACUCCCCACACAGCUUUCCAUCUUUCGUUAAAUAUAUUUCCUCCCUUUUGAUCUGUAUAUCCCGUUGUUUCAACCUGUCUUUGAAAGUUACUUUUCCCAGAAUGUAAAAAUCUUUCAUGUUGUCAUUGUGGCCAGCAUUUUUGGUAAAAAUAAACUUAAUAACUUUGCCUUA